AAGUCGUAACAAGGUUUCCGUAGGUGAACCUGCGGAAGGAUCAUUAAAGAUUCGAGCUUCGGCUCACCUCUUCAGCUGUGCGCUUCGGCUGCACGCUGUUGAAAAUCUCACACCUGUGCACCUCCUCGGUUGCGGCGCUCGCGUCGCUUCCGCCUUUAUAUCUUACAACACAAGUCCAGAAUGUAAAAAACCAUAACAUAACAACUUUCAACAACGGAUCUCUUGGCUCUC
rnacentral:misc_RNA from 1 species